AGUGAACGCUGGCGGCAGGCCUAAUACAUGCAAGUCGAACGGCAGCACAGCAGAGCUUGCUCUGUGGGUGGCGAGUGGCGGACGGGUGAGGAAUACGUGGGAAUCUGCCCAGUCGUGGGGGAUAACGUAGGGAAACUUACGCUAAUACCGCAUGCGCCCUUCGGGGAAAGCCGGGGACCUUCGGGCCUGGCGCGAUUGGAUGAGCCCACGUCGGAUUAGCUAGUUGGCGGGGUAAAGGCCCACCAAGGCGACGAUCCGUAGCUGGUCUGAGAGGAUGAUCAGCCACACUGGAACUGAGACACGGUCCAGACUCCUACGGGAGGCAGCAGUAGGGAAUAUUGGACAAUGGGCGCAAGCCUGAUCCAGCCAUGCCGCGUGAGUGAAGAAGGCCCUCGGGUUGUAAAGCUCUUUUGUCCGGAAAGAAAAGACGCCGGGUUAAAUACCCUGGUGUCCUGACGGUACCGGAAGAAUAAGCACCGGACUAACUUCGUGCCAGCAGCCGCGGUAA
rnacentral:rRNA from 1 species